AACGAGCGCUGGCGGCAUGCCUAACACAUGCAAGUCGAACGAGACCUUCGGGUCUAGUGGCGCACGGGUGCGUAACGCGUGGGACCCUGCCCUUAGGUUCGGAAUAACUCCCCGUAAGGGGUGCUAAUACCGGAUAAUGUCUUCGGACCAAAGAUUUAUCGUCUUUGGAUGGGCCCGCGUUGGAUUAGCUAGUUGGUAGGGUAAAAGCCUACCAAGGCGACGAUCCAUAGCUGGUCUGAGAGGAUGAUCAGCCACACUGGGACUGAGACACGGCCCAGACUCCUACGGGAGGCAGCAGUGGGGAAUAUUGGACAAUGGGCGAAAGCCUGAUCCAGCAAUGCCGCGUGAGUGAUGAAGGCCUUAGGGUUGUAAAGCUCUUUUACCCGGGAUGAUAAUGACAGUACCGGGAGAAUAAGCUCCGGCUAACUCCGUG
rnacentral:rRNA from 1 species